rnacentral:rRNA from 1 species
GAUGAACGCUGGCGGCGUGCCUAAUACAUGCAAGUCGAGCGAACGGACGAGAAGCUUGCUUCUCUGAUGUUAGCGGCGGACGGGUGAGUAACACGUGGAUAACCUACCUAUAAGACUGGGAUAACUUCGGGAAACCGGAGCUAAUACCGGAUAAUAUUUUGAACCGCAUGGUUCAAAAGUGAAAGACGGUCUUGCUGUCACUUAUAGAUGGAUCCGCGCUGCAUUAGCUAGUUGGUAAGGUAACGGCUUACCAAGGCAACGAUGCAUAGCCGACCUGAGAGGGUGAUCGGCCACCUUGGAACUGGAACACGGACCAGACUCCUACGGGAGGCAGCAGUAGGGAAUCUUCCGCAAUGGGCGAAAGCCUGACGGAGCAACGCCGCGUGAGUGAUGAAGGUCUUCGGAUCGUAAAACUCUGUUAUUAGGGAAGAACAUAUGUGUAAGUAACUGUGCACAUCUUGACGGUACCUAAUCAGAAAGCCACGGCUAACUACGUG